CCUACGGGUGGCUGCAGUGAGGAAUAUUGGUCAAUGGCCGUAAGGCUGAACCAGCCAAGUCGCGUGAAGGAAGAAGGAUCUAUGGUUUGUAAACUUCUUUUAUAGGGGAAUAAAGGUAUCCACGUGUGGAGAUUUGCAUGUACCCGAUGAAUAAGCAUCGGCUAACUCCGUGCCAGCAGCCGCGGUAAUACGGAGGAUGCGAGCGUUAUCCGGAUUUAUUGGGUUUAAAGGGUGCGUAGGUGGUUUUUUAAGUCAGCGGUGAAAGUUUGUGGCUCAACCAUCAGAUUGCCGUUGAAACUGGAUGACUUGAGUGUGUUUGAGGUAGGCGGAAUGCGUGGUGUAGCGGUGAAAUGCAUAGAUAUCACGCAGAACUCCGAUUGCGAAGGCAGCUUACCAAGCCAUAACUGACACUGAUGCACGAAAGCGUGGGGAUCGAACAGGAUUAGAUACCCGGGUAGUC
rnacentral:rRNA from 1 species